AGUGCUCCCAGACCCCCCUCGUGGGAAUAUACUGGGUAUGUUCAUGCUGUUGUUAAUAUGAUUAGUGCUCAGAUGCAGAAAGUACCAUCACUCUUGACUAGAUAUCUUAGCUUAAUGUUUUAGUGAGUUUUUUCUUUUUAUAGCUUUUAGCCGGAGGGGUGGGGGUUGUGGCAUGAUGGUAUAGCAAAGCCUAUCUCUGGUUUCUUUUCUGAGAGAAUCACUUCUGCACGCAAGGAAUGAUUGUUUACUUCAGCCCGUUUUGGUUAAAUAUUGACCACCUUCCUCAUCUAGCUCAUGUAUA